CAUACAGUAGCAUAGCGGCUAGCUUACGUCUGGUGUCUUCAGUUGCUAACCUACUACGCAGUCCCGCGGCCCUAUGGUUAAGAAUCACUUCUCGAUAGGUCAGUGGCUUUCUACUGUUUUUAAGUACGUACUUAAAAGAAGCAGUAGUCAAAUAUUUAAAGUCAAAUAUCCUUUCUGUUAUAUAGACAGAAAAAGCGUUUGUAGCGUUAAUUCCGUAGACGCACGGAAGUCAUUUUUGUUUUGCAAAUUUGAGGAUUAAAUCCAACUUUGGAGGUCAUGUGGAUGCCUGGAAUCCCAGAUGUGUUGUUUUUUUUAAUUGACUAGACAGCAAAUGCAUCCUGUGUGUGAUUUGUCCGGUGGAAUCAUCUAAGAAUCAAAUCCUACUUGAUGCCAGUUUAUGUCAGCUGAGCUCCAGCACCGGCAGCUAAGCUUUUACUGCCAUCUAGUGGAGGAGCUUCACACUGCAAUUCCCAUGCAGCGGAGGACAUCCAUUAAAAAAACACAGAUUUAUUCUUCAGAAUGUAUUUAUUUGUUUGCAUUGAAUUGCAUUGGAGUAAUGUUGUAUAUAAUAACAUCCAUCACAAUACACGUAUUCUUAAAAUGAAAACUAUUUAUUGAUUUAUAUAUUUUUUUAUGUUUUUAAAAAAAGAGGACACACUAAAAAUACAAAAUACAAAAAGCAAAACAGACAAAAACAUGAAUUAUUAUAUAAUUAUUCUGGAGGGGAAUUAAUGAAUUUGUGGUUUGGUAGUUACCAGCUCACUAAUGAUGUACAGUUUGUAAGUGAGUGAUUGAUUAUGUUCCAGGAAAUGGUUCAUUACAUUGAUUGAGAACAAGACAAUGGGGUGUGUCAAUAGUCACAGUCUAAAUGCUAAAAACGCUAUGUUUGCAUUGUCCAUCUUCUUCUACAUGUGCUGGGAGUCCAUGAUGUCCAGAUACUUGGCGUCAAUCAUUCUCGGAAGCAAGCUGGUCCUGAAGCGAAACAUGCAGAGAACAUGAUUGACACAGUUGCAUGUACGGUACCUAGAAGAACUACACAUGGAAAGGGACGAGCAGGAUCAUCAGGAGGGGGAAGACCAUCUUCAUGUAGGGCAGAGGGUACAUGCCAAAGGCACACAGGAUGAUGAGCUGGAUCAUCUGCAGCCCCGUGAAGUAGUGCACCUUCCUCUGGGGUACACGGCGGACAUAGUGGGUGGGGGGAUAGGCGGUCUACAUGAGGAAAUGUCAAAAAAAUGUCACGGAAUUUGGUACAACAUCUUGGGGGACUGACAAGCACUAGUAUGGAACAUUUGAGCGAGAUUGUUUGAAAAACGGGGCUGCGCGGUGGUCAAGUGGUUAGAGCGCAGACCUCACAGCGAGGAGACCAGGGUUCAAUUCCACCCUCGGCCAUGUCUGUGUGGCGUUUGCAUGUUGUCCCCGUGCAUGCGUGGCUUUUCUCCGGGUACUCCGUUUUCCUCCCACAUUCCAAAAACAUGCUAGGUUAAUUAGCGACUCCAAAUUGUCCAGUCCAGGUUGUACCCCACCUCUUGCCCCAAGACAGCUGGGAUAGGCUCCAACACCCCCGCGACCCCCGUGAGCAUAAGCAGUAGAAAAUGAAUGAAUGAAUGAAACGUGCACCAAACAUGAUCUCCUCUAUUGUGCAGUUGCAUCAUCACCCACACGCCAAAAACAUGCUAGGUUAAUUGGCGACUCCAAAUUGUCUAUAGGUAUGAAUGUGAGUGUGAAUGGUUGUUUGUCUAUAUGUGCCCUGUGAUUGGCUGGCCACCAGUCCAGGGUGUACCCCGCCUCUCGCCCGAAGACAGCUGGGAUAGGCUCCAGCACCCCUGCGACCCUCGUUAGGAAAAGCGGUAGAAAAUGAAUGAAUGAAUGUUUGAAAAACGGGCUCCAAGGCGGUUAAGUGGUUAGCGCGCAGGCCUCACAGCUCGGAGACCCGAGUUCAAAUCCACCUUCGGCCAUCUCUGUGUGGAAUUUGCAUGUUCUCCCCGUGCAUGUGUGGGUUUUCUCCUGGUACUCCGAUUUCAUCCCACAUUCCAAAAACAUGCUAGGUUAAUUGGCGACUCCAAAUUGUCCAUAGGUAUGAAUGUGAGUGUGAAUGGUUGUUUGUCUAUAUGUGCCCUGUGAUUGGCUGGCCACCAGUCCAGGGUGUACCCCGCCUCUUGCCCCAAGACAGCUGGGAUAGGCUCCAGCAUACCCGCGACCCUCGUGAGGAUAAGUGGUAGAAAAUGGCUAACAUUUCUAAUAGUUUGACAUGUAUGCUAGCAUGUCUUUCAAAGCAUUUUGACACAUAAUGGGGUGCCACAGGGGUUUUCCUGUAAUGAAAAAUGAUGUCCAAACAGGUUUCUUUCUUCCCCACCUGUUCCUUCAGCAGCAAGGCCAUGCGGUCCACCAUCUGGUUCCCAUCCAAUGAAGUGGCAGCAAUGUAGAGAAAGAGCCCGUAGAGGACGGGCUUUGGAAUCCACUGGAGUGGAAUGGGCAGCAUGAAGGCAGACAGGCCGAUCAGGAUGUUGGCGGCCAGCGAGGUCAGACGCGUCUCCUUCACGCUGACGAUCCUGUAAAACGAGAGAGAGAGAAAAAAUGCUUCGUCUGGAUUUUUUUUAGGUUCAGUUAGCUGUCUUUUAGUUGGAGCUGUCCUCGAGACGCUCAUUAUCGACAUUCCCAGUCAAUCACACUGUGUGUUCGGAAAACCUUGCUCCAGGAGGUUGUGUUUUCAUCGACGUGGGUUUAUUGUUUGUUUUAGUGUCACUUUGCAGACUUAGCAUACACACAGCAUCAUAUCCUCUUUAUGGCUACCAAAUGUGACAAAAAUCCAUCUUCUGCAGCUUUGCAUUAAAGCAGGCUUUGCUACAUAUCUUAAAAUAAAACCUUGAUAUCUACAAAUGUAUUAUCAGCAGCUUAUAUCGAUGUUUUAUUCAGAUUCAAACAUAAGAAUAUUCAAUUUGUUUGAGGUUGACAUACGUGGAGUAGAGGUGGCCGUUCUCCACGUGCUGCUCCACUUUGGCGAGCUGACGGGCGUGCAAGGAGGAAUGCGGGAAGGCGGCAUGCAUCCAUGGCAACCCCAGACAGGACAUGAGGAUGUUGAUGAGGCCCGUCAGCACUAAGUCCCAGUGGAAUGCCGUGCCUUUGAGCAGCCUGGUACCAACAAAUGCAGACAUUUCAAAGGUUCCAAAAAAUGGCAGUUCCUUCCUUUGAAGGACACCUUUGCGUUUUUGCAGUUGGUCUUCAAAAACUAUUCUGAAAAACAGAACUUCACUUCCACAUUUGGGGCAUUCCCUAUUUCGAGUGUCAUGUUUAGGUAUAUGAGAGAAAUUAGAAACACCAAUAUUCCGUCAAUGCAGUUCGACACCACAGUAAACAACCAUAAUUGACAUUAGAGCACACACUCAAGCUCUUACUUGUGUUCCGGCACAUGUGUGAGUGAAAUGACGAUGUUCUGGUCUAUAAAGAUGAGCAGAGCGAGGAGGAAGCCGAGUCCCACUGCGCUCAGAGUGUUGAGUCCUGACAGCUUGUCAAAGGGAGGGUAGUUGAAGACGGGUCCGUCGUGAACGCUGAACACAGGAACUGUCAAGAGCGUAGCAUUGGGAGGGUAACAUCAGACCGGUUAAACAUGGGUCACAUGGACAAGAACAAAAUAAGUCUACUGACAGAGGUUGAGAUGUCGUAUAUGAGCACUGUGGAGAUUUGCACUCACGCUGUACAUCGAGGAAGAGGUAGGAGCCGAUGAAGGAGAAGAUGACCACAGAGAUGGGCAGAGCGCAGUCUGACACUACUUCUCGGAUUUUGUCGUUCAGAUACGGGCUAAAGGGGCCAAACAUUAUUCAGCUGGGAGAUUCUUACAGAUUUUUUUUAUAGCCGUUUUACAUGUUAUAGGCCCAAGACCAAUAGGUCACGGUGACUGUCAGACAAAUAGACUGCAGUGGCAAGUAACUCAUUCACCUACAAAAUAAAGUGCUAACAAAUGCAGGGCCCGCUUGUAUUUAUGGGUAUGUACAAAAUCUUUCAAUACUGAGCACUCACCAUCCUUCCAUAGAGAGGAAAAACCAGUGUGUUUUUUAUAGUUUUUUUUUUUACAGCUGCACCAGCUGAAGCUAGAUUUAGCAAAAAGUGAACAAUGAAUUUUGACUGCCAAGAUGAAGAAUUUAAUUUAAUAAUAAUAAAUGUAAUAAUAAUAAUAAAUGUUAUUUAUAUUGCACUUUACAUUACAGAAAUGCUACAAAGAAAGCAUAAAACCUACAGUGAAAAGCAUAAAACCUACAGUGAUAAGCUUUGCUUCUUCCUGCUCCUUUUCAGACAUGUAUAGUGAUGAGGGUUUGUGUGUGUGUAUGUAUGUAUGUGUAUAUAUAUAGAUAUAGAUAUUGUAAGUGUAUUGUAAGUGUAUAUGUGAGAAAAAAAUGUAACAUAGUAUGCAUGUCUGAAAUAAAUUAAUAAUAAUAAUAAGAACUAUAUAAGCUCAACAGAAGGUGAUCAGACUUUUACAACAAAGUUUUUCCAAUAGAGGACAGGCCACACGUGCCUUGUUUACAAAUAAAAAGUAAGACCACAUGUUUUUUGAGGUUAUAAAUAACUAAAUAGCGGGGCUAACAAAAAUGAUCUUUUUAUCCUAUUAAUGAGCAAUCUGUAUUAAAUGGGACCUAUUAUGCUUUUUCCUUUUUUCUGACCUAUAAAUGUAUAAAUGUUGUAUUCUCGUCUUAAACGAUGCCAAAGUUUCAGGUAAUGAGGUUUCCGCAUUUGGAAGUGAGAACUGAAAGAAGUUGAUGGCUCAAAGGGCUCGGUUUCAAAAGGCGUGGUAAAACUAGACCUUUGUGAUGUCACAGAGGGCGAACUUCCUUAUAUGGUUCAUAGCUAGGAAGCUCUUUGGGUGUGCAUGCCUGGCAGCGGGCCGUGGGUGGAAUAAAUUAAAACUGUUUUGGUAGGAAGCACAAAUCAAAGGAAAUACAGCUGGAAUAGGUGCAGAUUCUGGAAAAUCUAGAAAGUUUUCUGUGCGGGUUAUUGUGUGUAGCUGCUCUAUACGAGACCACAACUCAAUACAAAGGGUAAAAAAUUAGCAUAAUAGCUCCCCUUUAACAUAAAAAUAAUACAUAUAAUACCAAAUAAUGUAAUUGAAGUUCAGAUAUAGCAUUAUUGUGUGUAUUUUCCCUUGAGAAGAUAUAAUAGCAUAUAGUGUAGCGAUAGUACAAAUUUUAAGCACAAGGCUGCAUACGUCAUGUAUUUAAGGUAUUGAAACACAUUGUGUGGCCCAUCCUGGGUCUGUUGCAGCAGUUGGCCUACCUCCUCUUGAUAAGGUAGAGAGCGUAACCCAGCCACAAGGUCCCCAGCAUGAGCAGAAGGCACAGGAUGGGGAUCUCUCUGGAGCACAGCACCAGAGACUUGGGCAGGAAGACUGAGGCAUGUCCUUCAGCGUGAGCCAUCAGAGGCACACUGGUGUUGGCAUGUCCUGCUGUCUGGUUCUUCAUCUUCUCUAGAACCUCGGCGAUCUCGUGAAGCACCAGCGUGCUGUUUGCAGUCGCCAGCGUGGGCUCGUGGAAGAAGUGGUCAAAAACUAGCGAGUGUGAGAGAAAGGUACUGUUAGGUGUCUUGCACUGGCUAAAGGUUACACAGUCCUCCGAUCUGCUCAUCGCUCUUUAGUAUUGACUACUACAGUUUGUACUUUAAAUGCACGUGUCAAAUAUAUUUAUUCAUU